AAGAAUUUCCUACUCAGACAAAACCCAGCAGAUAACGGUCAUGUUACGUUCUCACCCGUACACGCGCCUCUGCCUACAGCACGAAGAAGAGCCACCGGGGAUUUCCAAAGCCAUUUUGUGCCCAAGUCCGGAGCCCCUCGGCAGAAAAUGGUAGAACUCCUGAACUUAGCUUUACCCCUCUGCACAAAGCCCAUGGACACUUUUGGUGAAGACCUGGGGACACAUCUCGAUGGUAAAAUCCUUUCCAUCGUAAUGCUAUUAGAUUUUCAUCUGACAAAAGAAAACCCAAACAGAAGUUCUGCUGAAGCGAUGUUUGACAGACCUUCCUGUUCCCUACCUCCUCCCUUCCCUGAAGGAAUUCAAAUGCCUCAAAACCAAAGACCUGUGGAAAUGCUGCAGGGACCCGUAUUUCUUCAGAAGAAAUGAUUUCUUUUCAUUAAGUGGCCAAAAUAUCAGUUUCUUACACCUCUUGUUUUAUUAUUCUUGUUUUAAAUUCAUGCUUAGUAUAGUAUCUUGCCUUCUAACUGCUAUUUUUUCCUUCCUACGUGUGCAUCUACGUGUGCAUCUCUUAAAUGUGCACCUACUGACAGGACUCCUGUGGCAAACUAUUACAUUAUAUAGAUUAAGAAAUGGCUGAAUAAAUAUUUCUUAAAAAGGCAAAUGCUGUGGAGUG